rnacentral:rRNA from 1 species
GACAGCAGCCGCCACGGGAAUACGUAGGUGGCAAGCGUUGUCCGGAAUUAUUGGGCGUAAAGGGCUCGCAGGCGGUUUCUUAAGUCUGAUGUGAAAGCCCCCGGCUCAACCGGGGAGGGUCAUUGGAAACUGGGAAACUUGAGUGCAGAAGAGGAGAGUGGAAUUCCACGUGUAGCGGUGAAAUGCGUAGAGAUGUGGAGGAACACCAGUGGCGAAGGCGACUCUCUGGUCUGUAACUGACGCUGAGGAGCGAAAGCGUGGGGAGCGAACAGGAUUAGAUACCCCCGUAGUCCCUGUCUCUUAUAC